rnacentral:lncRNA from 10 species
UUGCAGAAAUUCGACAGGGAAGAAAAGCAAGUCACCAGGGACUGUAUCCUUGAUUAGUGGCUGCGAUCCUGCAACACACUUCAUCCUGCCCAAUCCCCAUCGAUGUUGGCAUUUUCCUACUCAAUUGAUGUCCUCAUAUUUUCCCUGCUCCAUCUACACACCAUAUAUUUCCUCAGGUGCUACAAACAAGUUCCAAACUUUAUUGGACAGGGGAAGAAGUAGAAGAAACAAGAAGUAUUAUUAAAAUGAAUGGAGUUAAAAUGGGACAGAGACUUGGGUGAAAUGUCCCACCAGACGGUGUGAUAUUUAGUAGCCCAGAAAGCUGCCAAGGGGUUGAAUGACACUAUCUGAAGAUAUGAACCAGUUUGCUCUCCAUAGGGAGGAUUUCAUCAACAGGAAACAGAUGCCUGGAAGGCAUUGGAUUUGCUAAGUGUCUAUGCCAUAUGAUUCUGCUGUUUGCGUUUGAUUUAGAAUGCUGAGCUGACUCAAAGUCAAACUGUAAGUACGGCCUUCAAUAAAGAGUGCAUGUUAUAUGUAGGUUGCAGAUUACAUUGUGAAAAUGCCCAUUUAAAAAAGUGAUGUUACUAAAGGCAUGGCAAUGAUGAUAAGCCUCGUGGUAUUGUGAUAAAGAGAAACUCGAUAUGGUUGCUGUUACCAGUUGUAGACGGAUCUGCCUAGAAGAGGCCAUCGGCCAUGUAUUGGUGAUUUAUUGCUGUUCAUAUCACAUUGCAAGCUCUAAAAAUUUGCUGUGUCACUGCUAGAAACGUAUUACAAUCAAAAUAAUUUCUAGCAAACUAUUGAAAAUGGUUUAUUUCCCAGGGAUUUUUGCUAAAGAUGUCAUUUGAAUCACCAGCCUCCCAAUUCUACUUAUAGAAUCUUCCAUUUUGUAACUCUGUUGGCACCCUCGUAUUAGUUCCUAUGGUCAAUUUCUC